rnacentral:lncRNA from 1 species
UUACUUUUUAAAUAGUGAUGUAACUUUACAAAAUAUUGUGUACAUUAUUUAAAAUAAUAUGACACCGAGACUUUGAAAUUUUGAAUCCGACUAUGAAUGUGUAUUUCAUCUACCGCGUAAUGAAAGCCACCAACCUUUAUUAAAAAACCAAAUCAUUGUAAAUUUAGUAAAAGUUUCAACUUUUCAAUAAUAACAUCAUCAUCACAUCAGGGCAGAGUCCACAUGGAAGAUUGUCAAAAUUAAUUAUCCCAAAAAAUAAAGUCAAGUAACCUCAGCAUAUAAAUACACAUUUUGGGGUAGCUAUAGGCUAUAAGCUAUCUUUAGCAUCCACCCUUUUCUCCUCUUCAUUUUCUGCUUGUUGUUUCACCCAAAUUAUUUCUUUGGAUACUCAACUACCACCAGCAAGAUUUUUAUUUUUGAAUACAACCUUCCUUUCCAAUCUCUCCAUCAAGCCAAGAAAAAAAGCAACGGUGGUUUAUCAAGAAUAGGCAAGAAAAGCACUUUGAAUUGUUGAUUAAUCAAAUAAACGAGAUGAUAAAAGUAGGGAAAAUGGUGGAAUUACUUGAAGAAUAUGGAAUUGUUAUAUUAAGAAUGAGAGAGCAGCUGUUUCUCCCAAGGCGUUUGCAGGUUCCUUUGUUUUUACAAAGCCUUCGUUCCCCUGCUUCCUCUGCAGUUCAAGAUUCUUCGUCUUUCAUUGUCUACUUUUAGUUCUAUAUAUAUAAACAAUUUUAUUUGAAUCUUUCUUAAUUAAGUUAUAGCUAGCUUCAUAUACGUGUAAUGUGGGGAUUUUUCUUCUUCUUUUUUUUUUUUUUCUGGUUUAAUUUUCCAAUGUACAAAUUUCUAUUUUGAACCUUGUAAUGUGCAUCACUAUGGAUGAUGAUACAAUUUCUUCAAAUGAAUAAGGAAAAAAAAAACGUCUAUACUUCCUGUUCAUUUCAAUCGGUGUCAUUUCCAGUGAAGAAAGAAAUAUUUGGCUGAUUCAGUUUUGAUGUGAGUGCUUUUCUUCGGGAUUUUUUCAUAAAUAGCCGGUCAAAUUCACUAUUUACUUUCUGAAAAUAUAAUUACUAUUUACUUUCUGAAAAUAUAAUUAAAUAAUAAUAGAGUAUUCUUUUGAUUUUAAAUAAGACGAUCAUACACUUCAACAACUAGCCUUAUACAUAAAUUAUACUAAUAUAUUAUACAUUAGUCGGCUACUUUUAAUUUAAGCGAUUGGAUGAGCCGCUAUUGAGGCUAAUUCUUCAUAGUUUUCAGGUACAAAAGUUUCAAAUGAAGCAUCACGAAAAUGAAUCCCAAAAGUUCACUCAUUCUAGCCUCUUGGAUUUUCCUGUACUUCAACUUAUCUUCAUGUCCACUUGAGUGUGUAUUUGCACAUUAUUUUUAAAUCAUAUUCAAAUAGAAUAGUGUGUUGUUUGUUCUUAGCGUAGGGGCUACACAAAAUGAAUGACUAAUCUUUAUUACAAUCAUUUAAAUUUUCAUUAUAGGAUAGAGAGAAAAACCUAUCAUGAGGGCCUCAACGGCUUAACACCAACUAAAUGAGCCUUGUCCAUAUUGAAGUAAUGGUAACUGUCGAGGGGUCAUAACCCAUGAGACCCAUGGGCCCUGAAUAAUUAAUGGGUGGGGCAACAACUACCAAGGCUACAUGGUCCAUAACCACAUCCAAUAAUCCUUUCAUCUCACAAAGUGUAUACAAUGUAAACAAUAUAAAACUAUAAUUACAUAUGUAUGUACAUAAAUCGUCAAGUUUCUCUGAUAUAAGAGAUAUUUCUUGUGUAGUAACAAAGCUUGCCAAGAUUCAUGUUGGUUUCCUAUCAAUUUUAUGUUUGAGACGAACCGAACGAUCCAUCUGAUUUGUUCAGCUAUUGAACGAUGAAAAUUUGAACGAUUGUUGGGUGAUAUGCUCAGCAUCUGUCAACAGUGGCGGAUCGUUGGAAAAUUAUACUAUUUUUAUAUAAUAAUUUUAUGUAUAAAUAGUAGAGAUUGAAUCCUCACUGAAAAUAUCCGCCCGUGUCUGUCAAUGUUGCACUUACAAAGCAAUUGUUGAUUGCUUCUUCCAAUUUUUUAAUUUUUUUGGGUACGUCUUCUUUUGCCAUCUUUUUACCAAAGGAAUAAUUAUUUUGUCACGAUUCAAACUCGGGAAGCCCAACUGAAAUAUAGAGCUUUAAUUCCUUGGGAAACAAACCCUUAAUCUGUAUGUCUGUUCUAAUUCAAUAUGCCUUUCAUGAUCACUCGGUAUUCACUUAACCUGAUUUUGUAUCAAUAAAAUUACAUGUGUCACUCUAGCCAUAUUUUUAACUUCAGGUCAGCAAAAAAAUCUGACGAAAUAAUAGUACAAUAUUUUAAAGGACCCAACUAUGUAUCGAGAUUCGAGUGAGUCCUGAUGGUUGUUGGAACGUCAUUGACAUCUCGCACUAAUUCUAGUGGUCUGGCACUGAUUCUAGUGCUAGCACAAACUCUAGUGAUUAAUCUACCCAAAAAAAAAAACUAAUGAUUUCUUUCACAUUGGACAUCUUUUUCAUUAACUUUAUUUAAUUCAAUUAAGAGUUUAAAUUUUGUAUACCGUAAGUAAUAUUCUACACUAUUAGGUAGGCUAUUGCAUGUUAUUCAACUUUUUAUAUAAAAAUGUCUGAUAAUAUAGAAUUUUUAAUAUAGUGCACAAAAUUUGAAUUCUUCAAUUAAACAAUUUAAAUUACUUCCACUCACAAACAUCUUUAAUACCUUUCAAAUAUAAGAUAAAAGUAUUUUCACCUUCUCAUCGAAGUUAAAAGAUGCUUGGAAUGAGUUAGAUCUUCUCGCACCUGAACCUGUUUGUGACUGUGAAGUAUCAAAGGAAUAUACAGAUCACUUGUGUCAUCCACGACUACUACAGUUUCUCAUGGGUUUGAACGAGAGCUUUAGUCAUGUUAGGAGUGAUAUCUUACUUAGAACUCCCAUAUUGAUAGUGAAUCAAGCUUAUGCAGUUGUUAUUCAAGAGGAAAGUCAGAGAAAUUUCGGAGUGACUGAUUCUCACAAAGAAUCUGUUAGCUUGAUGGUGAGAAGAGGAAAAGGUCCUAGAGCUGUUCCGAAGAGGUUUGGAUAUUGUGAUCAUUGUGGUUGCAAAGGACAUGUGAAAGAGCUGUAGACACCUAAUUUUGUCCCUUCCAAUGUUGAUUUUAUCCAUUUUUAGCUUACCUUACCACGUGUCCUCAUCCAUGUGAUUAUAUCCUAUAAAAAUACAAAAAAUAACAACCCUCAACAAAAUCCUAACAAAUUUUAUCUUGUUUUAAUUAUCCUAACAACCUACCCCACCUCCUACUCACCUUACCACCCUGCUCAUUUUUUAUUGGAUUACUUUUAACCUAAUACACUAACAACAAAAAUAGACAGGGACCCCACUAGUCAGCAACAGUAUGGGUAUUCACUCAUUUCCAUUUUUCAGGGAAGGCAUUUUAACAAUACAACAUUCUAUACACUCAUCACUCACAGGAAAUAGAGAAGAGGAAAAACACGCACCUCACCAGAAAAACACUCUCACUCACAGAAUUCAUAAGCACACACAUCAUUCUUCUCCACUGAUCUUCCACAAAAAACGCAACACUCACACAUACAUGGGGGGAGAGACAACAGAGAUAGACACACAACAAAAAAUAAAGGGAGGGAGAAGAGAAGAACAUGAGAGAGAGCGCAACACCAGUGAGAGAAAGAGAUCGAAAAAUGGAAAUCAAUAUGGAAAAGGAGAAUAGAUCGGUUGUUUAGGCUAUUUUUGAUUAAAUUUCACCGAGAAAGGGAAUUCUACCAAUUCUCCGAUCAACCACGUCCCAAACCAACUCUCCUCGGCACCGCCGGAGCUCCGGUGAAACGAGAAACAGUAAGUCCAGUUUUAUUCUGACCAAACUAGCAUCAAACAUUCACUCCCGACCCCAUUUCAGUUCGAAUCUCACCGGAACUAACAAAAUCAACGAAAUCCGACUCGUCCCAGUCGAUUCUGACCAAAUUCUAACCGGAAAAGAAGAUAAAAAUAGAAACGGCUUAGUCGGGUCUGUUGGGGGUUUAGUCCAGAUUUUAGGAGUUUGGCUUCGAGUUGGUGGGUUGAGGUUGAAGUUCAAUUUGAGGUUUCCGGCGACUCUAUCUCGUUUAAUUGAAUAACACUACAUUAAAAUUGACAAUUGAGGUCCGAUUCUCUUCUCCCUCUUUUUUUAUUUCACUCUUUAUGAUAUUCGGUGCUAUGGAUUGAACGUUUGCGUGUUGUUUGAUCCUUGUUGAUGGUGAAUAAUUUCUUGGUGUUGAUUCAUUAUUUAUGUGUUGUGUGAUGAAAUGAUAUCUUAUUUGAGAAUUAAAAUCGGUAAUUUGAGAAUAAAAAUGGGGCGGAAAUUGAAAGUUGAUAAAAAUGAAUAUUGUCGUUUUGAUUCAUUGAUGUCGUUGAUUGUAAUAGUGUCAUGAUUGGUCGAGCUGGGUAAUAAAACAGUAGGCUCGGGUAGGCAAAUUUAGAACUUGUGGACUGCGGAAUGUUUGGAAUAUGUGUUGAAGGUUUUUGUUUACCGCAUUUGGAUCAACUGUAUUCAUUUAGACAGGAAAUGCCCCGAGGACACUUGUAUUUAUUCAUCGGGUAAUGCCCCGACAUAUUGUGUUGGCGGAAGAUGUUCGUGAUAAAGAUCUGAGGCACUGGAUGGAGCGUAGUUUAGGAUUAGUGUAGGUUUACAUUUAUGUACAUUUUUAUUUUGGGUUUGUAAUAAUUGGACUGGACAUUAACUUUUGGAUUCUCGUUUGUUUUGUUUAAUUGUUGUGUGUUUUAUGUGGUUUAUACAUUUGUAGUGUCAAAAUAGCCGAUAUGUUCCCACCAAGCGAUUGUGGUACAACCACGGGAUCGAGGGGUGCCUAACACCUUCCCCUCAGUCAACAGAAUUUCUUAGCCGGAAUCUCUGUUCGCAAACCAGUUUAAUGAGUCAAAUUGUUUUGAAAAGAAUCUUUCAAAGGUGACUUGGCACACCGGAUUAUGUCAAGUGGCGGCUCUGAAUACAAAAUGUAAAUAAUCCUUUUUUGAAAUAAAUUUUCAAUCUUUUGUCACUUUAAUAAUAAAAACCCUUUCAAAACUUAAAUCGAAUCUUUUGGGGUUGAAAAAGGGGUGUGACAGCUUUGGCGACUCUGUUGGGGAUUUUUCAAAAUUCGAGCUUAUUUUUUGAGUUGUAUCGACUUAGUUUGACACUAUGGGUGUAUAAACAUUGUUUGUGUUAUCGUUUGUGUUUAUUUUAUCAUUGUUGUGUGCCUACGUGCUACGUGUUUACAGUCUUUCUUUAUGUGUUACCACUUUAUAUCUGGCAUCAUUUGCAUAACCCAAGUCAAUUUUUUCUGCAACAAGUCUCGGAGUGCACGGCGUGUACAUGAACUCUAGUUGAGUCAUCCUUAUUUUUAGGAGGGGGAGCUGUCGGACGUAUGGAGUGGAUGAAAAGCUGUCACAGCCACUAUCGACCAUACGCUCCCCCGAACAACCUUGUUAGUGAACCCCAACUUAGGUCAGCCUUUAGGUCAUGCUUAUCUGCAUCAUAUUGAGACCUGGAGGGGCCUAUUUGGUCCUUUGUAAGAGACUCACCUCUAAAGCAUCCCUAUGUGCUAAAUAUUGUAUCUUUGAGGGUAACGUGGUCAUUUGACGGACUGAUUCAGGGAAAGCAUUUGUUAGAAGUAACGUGUGUUUGAAAAAAAAAAGUGAGUCAAAAAGGGUUUCGUAACUUUUAGUGUUCUUUAUGGCUUUUGUUUUUCACAAUUCAAAAAUUCAAAAAGAUUUUUUACCUUUUGCACUCAUUUUGUCAAAAACAAAAACAUCAAAAAGAUUUUUCUUUGUUUCAAAAAUGAUUUCUUUUAAUAGGAGUUUUAUAAAUGAAAAUUUAAAAAUGGUAGAAGUUUUAUACAUUUCAUAUAGCAAAAAUAUCUCAAAAAAGAUUUUUCUUUCUUAGUUGUGGGUGUCAUGUGUCAAAUUAAAAACCCUAAAAAGAUUUUAUUUACGUUCUUCACUCUCUUGUCUUUAGUCGUGUCUCAAGUCAAGGUUUUGUUUGUUCUUUAAUCCUAAAUUGUCCAAUCUAGACGAACUACGCACCCCUGAUUCUCCUCUCUUGGGAGUGAAAUACGUAGGUAGCCUAUUGUGGGUUUGGGGAUCUUAUUUCAAAAAUCUAAAAAAGAUUUUCUUCACUCUUCAUUUAGAGUAGGUGUUUGAUGUACAUCUUUAAAAGAAAACAACAAAAAAAUAUUUUCCUUUAAUAGGUUCAAGUUUCAUUUUCGUAUGAAAUUCAAAAUCAAAAAUCCAAAAAUAUUUUCUUCGGUAAUCAUAGAUUUCAUUUUGUACAGGAAUCUGAAAAAAUUCAAAAGACUUUCCUCACUCUUCAUUUAGAGUAGAUGUUUCAUAUACAUCUUUAAAAGAAAACUACAAAAAGAUUUUCCUUUAAUAGGUUUAAAUUUCAUUUUGUUUGAAACUCAAAAUUGAAAGCACAAAAAGAUUUUCUUUGGUAAUUAUAGAUUUUAUUUUGUAUAAGGAUUUAAACUUGAAAAAUACAAAAAAAAAUUGUCAAUUCUUUUGACAAUUUGUUAUUUUAUUUUUCUUUGAAGUUUCAAGAAAAAAAUGAAAUGAGUUUAAUUGGCCAUUUUGGCAAGACUUCACAAAUUACGCACACCUGAUUCUCCUCUCUCGGGAGUGAUAUACGUAGGCGCCCUUCUUGGGUUCGGUGAUCUUUUCUAACAAAAAAAAGAAGAAGAAAAAAGAGGUUGUGAAAAGUAUUGAACUCUAACCCAUUUGUUGGUUUUUUGUUGAGUCAGUUUAAGGUGGUUGGUUUGUGGCAUUCUGACUGGUCCUUCACAUCACACAAAAUCCAAAGGGUUAGUUGUGUCCAACAAAGAUAUAGAGAGUGACAUCAUGGAUCAAACAAAGAAUCAGAAAAAAGAGAGUUUGAAACAAGAGAUUAGGAGGGUAAGACAACAAAUGACAAAAAUGCAUCGAGCUUGGGCUAGUGGGUUGCGUCCUCCUUCAUUUCCCCUUAUUGAUCCUAAAAACACCUCGAGUUUUCCACCAAAAUAUCAAAGUUAGUUUUCUACUGUUGUUGAUGCACCGCAACAUGACUCAGAAUUCAUUCCGAGCCAAAAGUAUCUCAAUACUUCCACUUCUUUUCCUCUAUCUCCUCGUCAUAAGCCUGCUAUAUUUACAACACCACAUAUCGUCUGUGAUCUUGUUGCUCAAUUCUCUACUGGGACUUCCACACUGGCUCGCCCAAUGGUUGUGCGUCCCCAUGCUGCUAGUGAACCUAUAGUCAAUACUCUUGGUGAUCAUUAUUAUACUCCUGAGCCUUCUUUUAAGUUAACUAGACUACCAAAAUUUCUUAACAAGAAGUCUAGUACGCCAGAAGAGUCGGAGAAAAUGGUUGGAAAAAUAAAGAGUGUAGAAAAUGUUAUGAAAAAUUCUCUAGGACCUACGGGUAAAGAAGAUGUUUCAUGCAACGACUGGGGCAGGCCUUCAAGUGAUAACCUUCCUCCAAUCUUUAAGAUAUCAAAAUUUGAAGAGCAAGAUGGGCAUGAGGAAUCCGUGAAACAUUUGGGAUAAUAUUGCAAUCAAUUCAGGGAACCUGGAGAGAAGAAGAAUGAGAAAGAUAACACUGCUAUUGUAGUUGGAGAGAUGACACUGCUAUUGUAGUUGGAGAACGGGCACAUCCAAGAAAACGACGUCGUUGUUGCCGUCAGUCUCAAGCCCAAGUUCACACCCAAGCUCUUCAUAAUCACUUCAAAAAUCCAUUAUACUCUAUUUUCCCACCUUCAUAUCUAGUAUAUUGCACACAACCAUAUGUUCAACUCCCUUCUUACCCACAAUGGCGCGCACCAACUCUUCAAAGCCAUCCUCCAAUUCCAUAAACAUACCAAAGCCCUUCUAGGCCUGAUGUUCGAUCCAAGCCAAAUAAUGAAAUGAGGCAGAAAUUGAGGGAUAGUUUCACACCAAUUGGAGAGUCGUAUGCCAGUUUAUUUCAGAGACUAGCACAGCGAGGCAUGAUCAUUCCUCUCCUUGGGUAUACUUCUGACCCGCAUUAAAAAGGUUUUGAUCCUACUCUACGAUGUGCAUAUCAUUCUGAUUUUCAGGGUCACAGUAUUGAAGAUUGUCAUGCUUUGAAAAAAAAAUUGAAAAGAUGAUUCAAGAUAAAUCAAUUAUGGUGCAGAACGUUGAUCGUGGUGGAUACUCUAGUCAUGCUGCUAUGUAAACUAGUGGCUAAGUUAUCAGACUGAGCAAUUGAGAAGUCACCCCUCUCCCUACUAGAAAGAGGUCUGGUAGUUUGUUUUUUUUUCUAUUCUAUUUUCCGAAUUAUUUCAAGAUUGUAGUUUGGGAUCUAUCUUAUUUUGUCCCAGUGUCGUUUAUGUUCAAACCUUUCUAUCUUUUAUUUCAACUAGAUGAAGUGUCCUUUUGCCUUUGUGUUUUAAAUGUGUGUUUGUUUUUUUUACACAGUACAUUUUAGAUUGACUCUAGUGUUAUGACAUGCCUACAGAAUUUUCAGCUAUAUCUUAAAAUUCAAUUUAAGCAUGAACAUUGAAUCAGAGGGUUAAAGUUAGAAAAAUAGGGCAUCUGAGAAAAUAGGUAGAGUGCUGAGACAUUUGGUGAUAAGUUCAAGCCUUCUUGAAAAAUUAAGGCAAUUGUUUUGAGAAUUGUAAGAUUAACUUGGUCAUCAAUUGAAAAACAUUGCUCAAUUAGGUCAAAUAGCGGAUGUGUGAUCCCGAGGAACAGAAAAAUUAACUCCAUGAAAGCAUGAGUCAUUCGAUGUGAGAAAUGUACAACAAAAGUGGAGUGAUAUGUUGAACAAAGUGCAAGAGUAGUGAUGCACAGACUCAGUUAAAGUUAAUGCUUAAAAAAUGUCACAAAUGAUCUUCAUCUCUCACUUUCAUAUUGCAUUAUAUGUACUUGCAUUUUCAAGGAUUGAUAUGACGAAGGAAUUUCAUUCUUCUAUCCAAACAUCGCGUCAUCUUUUGUUUACCCCAUUUGAGCAUUAGUCCUAUUUUCUUUCAUACCCCUCUUUUGGAAUCAAGAUAGAGUCAGCAAAGCUCAAAAGAAAAGUGUCGAGCAAAAUAAUAGAGUCAGAAAAACUUCAAGAAAAAAAAAAUAUAUCCAAAAAGAAAAAAAAGAAAAGUUUCAAGACAAAUAGAGUCAGAAAAAUCCAAAGAGAAAAGAGUGUCAAUAAAAUAAAAAGAAUCAAAAGUCUAAACCAUGCAAAACAAGUUGCGAGAACUACGCGUGACCUGAUUCUCCUCUUUUGGGGGUGAGAUACGUAGGCUGCCCUAUUCGAGGCUCGGUCCAACUAAAUAAAUGAUUUAGAAUUCCCCAGUCAAAAGAAACUGGGGCAUGAGUUAAUUCUCAUUGUUUGAUUCAAUUCCAAAAGUUGUAAGUCCCACUGCACUUCAAGUGUCGUUUGGGCCCCAUGUUAUCCUUUCUUUCUAAUCCUAUCGAAAAGCCAAGUUACAACCAAAGAAAGAACUUCAAAUCAAUCUUUGAGAAUGCGCUAAGGAUAAGCAUGCAAUGGAUGUGAUGACACAUUUUGGAAACUACUUGUCUUCCUUAGUGUAAGAAAUUAGAAGAGAAAUAAAAAUGAGAGACUCUUAUUGAUGAAAACCCUCACGGGCACUAUAAGACGAUGGUGAGUUGAGAUAAAUAAAAAUGAGAAAGUCUUAUCGGUGAAAACUCUCACGGGCACCGUAAGACAACUGUGAGUUGAGAGAAAUGAAAAUUAGAAAAUCUUAUUGGUGGAAAAACCUCACGGAUACCAUAAGGCAAUGGUGAGCUGAGAGAAAGAAAAUGAGAGAGGCUUGUUGGCGUAAACCCUUCAAGGUGUCACCAGCCGAAUGAGGUCUCUAAAUGCAAUUGACCUAAGGAAGUAACUCAAUUUCAGGGUCAUUAUCUCAACAACAAUUGGUGAAAGUUUGGAUGAAAAGAUCAGGCAGCUUAAUCCAAAUGCAUGGUAUAAUCAUUAGAGUUGAUUGACAUUUUAGAUAAAUUUUCAUUUCUUUGUUUCAAAUGGGGACAUUUAUUGUCUUUUCUUUCUUCUCUUUAUCUUUAUUUUUAUUUUCUUGAUUUAGUUAUCCAAAAAAAAAAUCAUUGUCAUUUUUCUCGUGUCUUUGAGUCAAGUCCAUGACAAAAUAAGUGAGAAAAGAUUUCAAAACUGGCUACCAUCUUCUUCAAUUGCAUAAAGCAAGACAAAGUCACCAUAUGAAAGAGACAUGAUUGUGAGUCGAAUAAGGCCUGCAGAAAGUUUUGUAAACAGACAUCUUGGGAACUCAUGAAAAUACUAAGGUUUAAAGGGUUUAUCUGAGAAGCAUGACAAAGUAGAGAUAUUAUGUUUAUUUCGAAGUCACUCUUAAUAAUCUGAGUUUACGUCAAUGAAACGACAAAGCAGGGGCAAGUUCCAGCAGUCUGAAACAAAAUGAAGGGAAUGAAUACUAGAGCAGGUGUCGGGACAGCCAAGUGCCGCAAGCCACCACUAAGUUUUUAACUAACAAAUUUUCUUUGUUGAAGCAGGGGCAAAUUUCCUUCACUUUAUUCAGCUACCAUUGGAAAUGCACAUCUGUGAGAUUUUACUUUCUAUUCAGGAUCUUCCUGGAAAAUGAAAAUUUACUUUAUGUUCAGGACCCUCCUGAAAAAUGAGAAAUUUACUUUAUGUUCAGAACCCCCCUGGAAAAUGGGAAAUUACUUUCUAUUCAGGGCCCUCAUGAAAAAUGAGAUUUUAUUUUCUGUUCAGGACUCUCCUGAAAAAUGAGAAUUUACUUUCUGUUCAGGACUCUCCUGAAAAAUGAGAAUUUACUUUCUGAUGGGAUUUUAUUUUCUGUUCAAGACCCUCCUGAAAAAUGGAAAUUUACUUUCUGUUCAGGACCCUCCAGAAAAAUGGAAAUUUAUUUUCUGCUCAGGACCCUCCUGAAAAAUGAGAAAUUACUUUCUGUUCAGGGCCCUCCUGAAAAAUGAGAUUUUAUUUUCUAUUUAGGACCCUCCUAAAAAAUGGGAUUUUACCUUCUGUUCAGGACCCUCCUGAAAAAUGAGAUUUUACUUUCUGUUCAGGGCCCUCCUAGAAAAUGGAAAUUUACUUUAUGUUUGGGACCCUCCUGAAAAUGGGAUUUUAAUUUAUGUUCAGGACCUUCCUGAAAAAUAGAAAUUUACUUUAUGUUCAGGACCUUCCUGGAAAAUGAGAAUUUACUUUAUGUUCAAGACCCUCCUAAAAAAUGGGACUUUACUUUCUGUUGAGGUCCCUCCUGAAAAAUGAAACCAUAAUUUCAAACAAUGAAAUCUUUGUUUAUAAUGAUCUUUGUUUAGGAUAAUUCUCCUUCUAGUUUUAUUAUGAUUUCAGAAUCCCGCCUGAAGAACAGGGUGAUGAAAUUGAUAGUCAGGAGCUUGCCUGAAGAACAGGGUGAAAAAGUUGAAUGUCAAGUAAUAAGUCGAAGAAAUCGAAAGUCAAAAAUAGCAAGUCAGGAGCCCGCCUGAAGAACAGGGUGAAUAAAUAAUAGUCGAGCAACGAAGUGAAGCAAUUAGAAGCCAACCAACAAGUUCGAAGAAAUUGUAAGUCAGGAGCCCGCCUGAAGAACAGGGUGAUGAAAUGAAAAAUUGAUGAAAAUUGUAAGUCAGAAGCCCUCCUGAAGAGUAGGGCAAAUAAAUGAAUGUCAAGCAACAAGGUGAAGCGAUUGAAAACCAAGCAACAGAGUGAUUAAAUUGCAAGUCAUCAGCCCGCUUGAAGAAUAGGGUGAAAAAUUGCAAGUCAGGAGCCCGCCUGAAGAAUAGGGUGAAAAAAUUAUAAGUCAAGAGCUCGCCUAAAGAAUAGGGUGAUGAAGUAGCAAGUCAAGAGUCGAGGAAAGCUGCAUAGAUAGAGUUUUUGUAAUUUCAUUUAUAUUUUUAACUUGUAAUUUUUAUUUUUGAUGCAAUGAUAGAGCCGCGGACCGGAACCUCGAUGGAACCUCACUCGACUCUCCAACUCGGUGUAGUCUUUCUCUUUCCAAUCCUUUGAGAUACCCUUGAAUUGAUUCCCUCAUAACUUGGGUAGGUAGGAUGUCCUAAAUCAAAAACUUGGUUUCCCUCAUUCCUUCUGUUUCAUUUUUUUGAAUAAUGGUCGAGACAAAAUUUUGUCUCGUUGUCUACUUCUUUGUGUGAAAACACUUCGUAUUUACAUUCAAAGGGGGCAUGCUGUAGAUACUUAAUUUUGUCCCUCCCAACAUUGAUUUUAUCCAUUUUUAGCUCGCCUUACCACGUGUCCUCAUCCAUGUGAUUAUAAACCAUAAAAAUACAAAAAAUAACAACCCUCAACAAAAUCCUAACAAAUUUUAUCUUGUUUUAAUUAUCCUAACAACCUACCCCACCCCCUACUCACCUUACCACCUCCUUCAUUUUUUAUUAGAUUACUUUUAACCUAAUACACUAACAACAAAAAUAGACAUGGACACAUUGAUCAGCAACGGUAUGGGUAUUCACUCAUUUCCAUUUUUCAGGGAAGGCAUUUUAACAAUACAAAAUUACAUACACUCAUCACUCACAGGAGAUAGAGAAGAGGAAAAUCACGCACCUCACCAGAAAAACACUCUCACUCACAGAAUUAAUAAGCACACACAUCAUUCUUCUCCACCGAUCUUCUCCACAAAAACCACAACAUUCACACAUACACGGGGGGAGAGACAGCAGAGAUAGACAUAACAAAAAAUAAAGGGAGGGAGAAGAGAAGAACAUGAGAGAGAGCGCAACACCAGUGAGAGAAAGAGAUCAAAAAAUGGAAAUCGGUAUGGAAAAGAAGAAUAGAUCGAUUGUUUAGGUUGUUUUUGGUUACAUUUCACCGAGAAAGGGAAUUCUACCAAUUCUCUGAUCAACCACGUCCCAAACCAAUUCUGCUUGGCACCGUCGAAACUCCGGUGAAAUGAGAAACAGUAAGUACAGUUUUAUUCUGACCAAACUAGCAUCAAACAGUCACUACCAACCCCGUUUCAGUUUGAAUCUCACCGGAACUAACAAAAUUGAUGACCAAAUCAACGAAAUCUGACUCGUCCCAUUCGAUUCCGACGAAAUCCUAAUAAAAAAAUGAUAAAAAUAGAAACGGGUCAGUUGGGUCUGUUGGGGGUUUAGUCCAGAUUUUUGGGGUUUGGCUUUGAGUUGGUGGGUCACGGCUGAAGUUCAAUUCGAGGUUCCCGGCAUGGACUCUGUCUCAUAUAAUUGAAUAACACUACAUUAAAAUCGAUAAUUGAGGUUCGAUUCUCUUCUUCCUCUCUUUUUAUUUCACUCUUUAUGAUAUUCGGUGCUAUGGAUUGAACAUUUUCGUGUUGUUUGAUCCUUGUUAAUGGUGAAUAAUUGCUUGGUGUUGAUUCAUGAUUUAUUCAUGAUUUAUGUGUUGUACGAUGAAAUGAUAUCUUGUUUGAGAAUUAAAAUAGAUAAUUUGAGAAUAAAAGUUGGGCGGGAAUUGAAAGUUGAUUUAAAUGAAUAUUUUUGUUUUGAUUUAUUGAUGUCGUUGAUUGUAAUAGUGUCAUGAUUGGUCGAGCUAGGUAAGCAAACAGUAGACUCGGGUAGGCAAAUUUAGAACUUGUGAACUGCAGAAUGUUUGGAUUAUGUGUUGAAGGGUUUUGUUUACCGUAUUUGGAUCAACUGUAUUCAUUUAGCCAGGGAAUGCCCCGAGGACACUUGUAUUUAUUAACUGGGGAAUGUCCCGACGUAUUAUGUUGGCGGAAGAUGUUCGUGAUAAAGAUCUGAGGCACCAGAUGGAGCGUAGUUUAGGAUUAGUGCAGGUUUACAUUUAUGUACAUUUUUAUUUUGGGUUUGUAAUAAUUGGACUGGACAUUAAAUUUUGGAUUCUCGUUUGUUUUGUUUAAUUGUUGUGUGUCUUAUGUGUUUUAUACAUUCAUAGUGUCAAAUUAGCCGAUAUGUUCCCACCAAGCGAUCGUGGUAGAUCCACAGGAUCGAGGGGUGCCUAACACCUUCCCCCGGUCAACAGAAUUCCUUAGCCGGAGUCUCUGUUUGCAAACCAGUUUAAAGGGUCAAAUUGUUUUGAAAAGGAUCUUUCAAAGGUGACUUGGCACACCGGAUUCUGUCAAGUAGCAACUCUGACUAAAAAAUGUAAAUAAUUCUUUUUCGAAAUAAAUUUUCAAUCUUUUGUCACUUUAAUGAUAAAAACUCUUUCGAAACUUAAAUUGAAUCUUUUGGGGUUGAAAAAGGGGUGUGACAAGAGCAAUGCUACAAAAUUGUAGGCUAUCCUCCUGAUUUCAAGAAUAAGAAGAAAAUGCAGGGACAUGAUGCUAAAUCCUAUGCUGCUAAUCAAUUUUUUUUAAGAAUCUAGUUCAGGUGCAAGGGAUCCUAGAGGAGGAUACAAUCCAAGAAAGGGCACAUCUUCUUCAGGAGUAAUGCACGUCAGUGACUAUAGCCUCAACACAGGAAGCUCUUCAUCUCCAGUAGCAGGUGGAAGUAACAAUACUGAGAAUUUUCAUUCUAACAUGACAGGUAUAAAGUCAUUGCUAUCCACUUUUAUGUCUUGUAAAUGGAUACUUGAUUCAGGAGCUACACAUCAUAUAUAACACCUCUUAAACAAUUCUUAAUUGAUCUAAAAGAGGUUGAAAGUGGAGAGAAAAAUGGAUUCCAAGUACCUACUGGUGAUAGAUCGAUCAUCACACAUACAGGAAAUACAACCAAACUAAAAAACAAAACAAUUAAAUGUCCUUUUAUGUUCCUAAUUUCAAGUUCAGCUUAUUGUCAAUUUUGAAAUUGACAAAGGAACUCAGUUGUUCAGUCACUUUCUACCCGGAGUUUUGCCUAUUUCAAGAGAUUUACAGUGGCAAGGUAUUAGGGAUUGGUAAAGAAAUGAAAGGUCUGUACUAACAAGAGAGUUCAAUAACUGCAGCAGUUUCAAUAAAGAAAGAAAAGAUUAUACUCUGUGGCACUUGAGGCUAGGGCAUCCCCCAAUCUCUGUGAUGCAACACGUUUUUUCCUUGCAAGGGAGGAUUUCUGAUAAAUCACAGGACUGCUGCAUGGUUUGUCCAUUUUCCAAGCAGAGUAGACUCAAAUUCCCUAAAAGUACUUCCAAAACUAUUGGUAUUUUUUUUAAUUGGUGCAUGUAGAUGUGUGGGGACCUUUCAAAGUACCUACUUAUGAUAAGAAACUCUAUUUUGUGACUAUUGUGGAUGAUUUUAGUAGAUAUACUUGGACAUGUUUGAUUCAAUCUAAAUGUGAAGUGUUUGUGGUAUUGAAAGAAUUCUUGUCUAGAAUAAAGACUCAAUUUGAUGCUUGUGUGAAAAUUUUGAGAUCAGAUAAUGAAAAAGAUCUCUUCAAUUCUCAAUGUAAUAAAUUGCUUUCAUCUCUUGGGAUUAUUCAUCAAAGUAGUUGUCCUUACACACCAUAACAAAAACUGUGUUGUGGAAAGGAAACAUAGACAUAUAAUAGAAGUAACAAGAGCAAUUAAGUUUCAAAGUGGAGUACCACAUAGAUUUUGGGGAGAUUGUGUAAAAACAGCAAUAUAUAUUUGAUCAAUAAAUUGCCAUCUAAAGUCCUUCUUGGAAAGUCACCCUAUGAACUGUUGUAUGGUAAACCUGCAACACUGGAUCGCCUUAGAGUAUAUGGAUGUUUAUGCUUUGCAAGUGUUUUACCCAAGGUAGGAAAAUUUAAUCCAAGAGUUAGGAAAACUAUAUUUCUAGGGUACAUGGAAACACAAAAGGGAUACAAACUGCUUGACAUGGAUUCUGGUGCUUUUCUGAUUAGCAGAGAUGUAGUUUUUCAAAAAACCAUAUUCCCUAUCAAAGGAACAACUGAAGGUGGUGAUGCUAUUUUCUGUGACAUUCCAAUAUUUUCCGAUAGUACCUGGUCCCCUCUACAAAUGAUAAUUGAUCACUCCAUAAAUGAGCCUCAGAUCACUAGUGAAACAUCACUGCCUACUGAUAUUCCUGGUACUGAUGUUUCUGGUGUUGUUCCAGCGGAAUCAACAACUACUCAUGUUCCUGAUAACAUUAAGAUUACAACACAAAUUGAAGAACAUGCAGCUUCUGCACCUUUCUUAUUUAUAGAUGAGUCUAACAGAAGACCUAGUAGAGUGCUUAAAUCACCUCUUUUGGAUGCAAGAUUAUGUUACAACUAACAAGAUCAAGAAGUCUACAAAACAACCUCAUUAUCCUAUUGCCAAUUAUCUAUCAUAUACAGCUCUUUCUCCUACAUAUGUCUCAUAUUUAGCAACUCUCUCCUCAACUGUAGAACCAUAAAGUUUUCAAGAGGUUUCACAGGAUAAACAUUGGAUAAAAGCUAUGCAACAAGAAAUUGCAUCACUGGAGGACAAUCACACAUGGGAGGUAGUAGAUUUGCCAGCAGUAAAAAGAACUAUAGGGUUCAAAUAGGUGUAUAAAAUAAAGUACACUGCAAACGAAGAUGUAGAGAGGUACAAGGCAAGGCUGAUGGCAAAGGGCUAUACACAAAAUGAGGGGCUUGACUAUCAUGACACCUUCUCACUUGUGGCAAAAAUGGUCACAGUGAGAACUGUCAUCAGUGUUGCAGCAUCAUAGAAUUGACCCUUAUUUCAUAUGGAUGUUAGUAAUGCAUUCCUACAAGGAGAUUUAGUUGAAGAAGUUUACAUGGAUAUGCCCCAAGGUUUUCAUCCACAAGGAAAACAGAGAAAGGUUUGCAGACUACUUAAAUCACUAUAUGGUUUGAAACAAGCUUCUAGGAAAUGGAAUAUCAAGUUAACUGAAGCAUUAACAUAUGCUAGUUAUGUUCAAAGUGCACAUGAUCACUCCCUAUUCACCAAAAAGAAAGAAGAUGCACAGGUCAUUAUUCUUGUCUAUAUAGAUGACUUGAUGAUUACGAGAAAUGAUGCACAAUUGAUCUCUGACACUAAGUCUACACUAUACAAGAAUUUUAAGAUUAAAGAUCUUGGUGGCUUAAAAUAAUUCCUUGCCAUAGUAGUGAUGAGAUCAACUAAGAGGGUGAUACUUAAUCAGAGGAAAUACUCACUAGAACUUCUGUCAGAAGUGGGAUUGAGUGGCGCUACACCUGCACCUAUACCUUUUGAGUCAAAUAAGAGAUUGACAACAGUGGAAUACUAUUAGCAGAUGGGAUGCACUGAUGAUCAGUUAUUGAAAGAUGUUACAAGCUAUCAGAAACUUGUAGGAAAACUGAUUUAUCUUACCAUUACUAGGCCUAAUCUUUGCUUUGCUGUCCAAGUACUUAGCCAAUUCAUGCAAAAACCUAAAUAAUCUCAUCAAGAAGCUACCUUUAGAGUUCUGCGAUAUGUGAAAGAAAGUCCAGGACUUGGCCUCUUUUUCCCAGCAGGGUCUAAGCCACAGUUAACUGUAUAUUGUGACUCUGACUGGGCUGCUUGUCCAAAUACUAGGAGGUUUGUUACAGGGUAUGCAGUGAAAUUGGGUGAAUGUUUGAUUUCUUGGAAAUCAAAGAAACAACACACUGUCAGUAGGAGCUUUGUAGAAGCUGAAUAUAGGAGCAUGGUUGCUGCUGUUGCUGAAAAAGUAUAGAUCACUGGAUUACUUAAUGACUUAGGGAUCAAGAUAACUACUCCAGUUUCCCUGAUCUAUUGUGAUAACAAGUUAGCUAUUCAAAUAGCUUUCAACCCCAUCUUCCAUAAAAGAACCAAGCAUAUUGAAUUAGAUUGUCACUUUGUAAGAGAGAAGCUUAAAGAUGGACUGAUUCAGCCUGAGUUUGUGAACACAAGUUGUCAGUUAGCAGAUGUUUACACUAAAGGUCUCUGUGGUGCUUAACAUCAGUUCUUGAUAUCUAGACUAGGUGUACAUAAUGUUUUCCACAUUCCUAUUUGAGGGAGAGUAUUGGAAUAUCUUCACAAGGAAUGUAUUACUUGAUGAGCUGGCAAGAUUAGUUGUAACUGACGCAAGUGUAGCUUGAUACCCUCUCUAUAUAUAGAGUCAAUGUAACAGUGAAAAUAGAGCUUGAUAAUAAGAUAUUUCUUCUUCUCAAUUUUUUCCUCUUUCUGGAAGUUUCCCAUCAGUGAUGGUUGCUUGAAUUCAUCUAGCUACUGCUAGAUUUCACACAUACCAAGCAUUUCUUUCAACAACCUAGAAACGCGAGUAUUAUUCUACAAACUUAGAGAAAAAAAAAAAUUUACUAGGCGUAGUAUCUUUCUAGCGAAUAGAACUUAAUUUUUUUUACUAACAAAUUUAUUUCUAAGCUUUCUUUGUUACUGCAAGAUGAGCUCAAAAGUUAUUUCAGGUUGCAUUUGAGAAUCCUAUGUAUGAUAUUCACACUUUUUUUUAAAAAAAAAUCCAUAUAUAUAAUUAAUAUUUGACUCAAGCAUUAUGUGGGACAGAAAGCUCAUGAUUAGAGAGUAAAUGUUAUGUCAUUGGGUUUUUGUGUAUGAAGCUCUGCCUCAGGUUUUCUGUUGACAUUAUGUGCAACAGCAUAGGGUGUGGACCUUCCAGGCCACCCAGACUGAUGUUCAAGUCUCAUGGCAUCACAUGUAUAUAUAUUAUCCUAAAUUAAUUCCACAUAUUAUCAUUCACCAAAAAAAUAUAUGUUGUUCUAAACACUUUUAAUUUCUCUUUGAGAGUACAGUGCGCCUCUUCAAACAGAUUAAGUAUUACUCCUCGGUUCAAUAAUUCUUGUUGACUGUUAACUUGACACACAGAAAUAAUAAAUAAUAAGAUAAUUUUACUAUAUAUAACCCUUUAAUAUAAUAAAUUUAAUACCUUGGAAAGUGUAUUGAGUGAUGAAUAAUUUUUAAUAGCAAGAGUAAAAUGAUUAGAAAAUGAUGAAUUAUCUAUUGAUUUUUCAAAAUGGACAACUAUUAUUGAUCAUUUGUUUUAAUACUAGUUUAGCUGUACGUGUCUCGCACGUGUAACUUUUGAUUAUUUAAAAUUAAAUAAUUUUAUCUAUCACGAAGGUUUUAAUGAAGUACAAAAAGUUUAAAACAGAUAUUUUAUCGUAAGCGCAUAUAUAUAUAUAUAAGAAAAAUAGUUAUGUUGUUAGAUUCGAACAUACGAGAAUAUCAAACCUGGAAAUCAAAAUUCUCAAACAAAACAGAUGUAAUAAUGCAUGGUGUGUUAAACUUAAAAUCACUCUCUAAGAUAAAGAAAAAAUAAUAAGUCACGACAACCAAUAGAAAAGGAAAAACAACUCAAAAAAGAGAGAGAAUAAUAUACUAACCUAGCGGAUAACAAUUACAAUGGUUGGAGAAAACACAAAAUACAAGCGUGAAACAGGAUAAUAUAUAUUAAUAUAAAAAUAUGUUGAAAAUUAAACCUAGUCCUAAUUUAAGAAAAAAAACUUACCAUAUUUUAAAGUCCUAAUCCAUUCUCAUAUUUUAAAAUCCUAACCCAUAUAUUUUAGGAUUCAAAAUUAUAUAUAUAAUUAAAUAAUAAUUGGAGAAAAAAAAAGUGAAAAGACGAUUUUGUCUAUUGUAAAGUGUUUUAAUGAAGGCCAAAACGUUCAAAUCACUUUUCUAAAUAUCUUCCCACUUUUAAUAUAUUAUAGAAUAGAUAUAGGUUAUAGAUAUAGAUACAGAUUAUAGAUAUAGAUAUAGAUAAUGGACAAGUAUUAUUUAACAAAGGGAGUAUAUAUAAUGGUUGCAACAUUAUAUUACCUUACAAUACUUGGCGAAGAGUUUAAUUUCACUAUUGACUUCCUAAUAUCAUUAGUUAUACGGCUUUAAAUAUAUGCGUGUAAACAAAGUACAUAGUAGACUACUGGGUGCUACAACUAAAUUAUUUAUACUCUACAAAUGCAAAAAAAUGAAUGGUCUAGUAAAUCAAAUAUUAAAUUCUUCUAUAAUUAAACCACUAAUUAUUUUUUAUUUUUUUUUAAAACUAUAGUAACAACAAUAUAAUCAACAAAUGUAACAUCCAACUUGGGUACAAGAAAAAAUUUUAGGAGAGUUGGAAAAGAUCUAUUAGGGAAAUAUUUUAUCUGUAUCGUGUGUUUAUAUUAGCAUCAAAUAUGCAACUUAUUAUAGUUAAUUGAUUCAAUAAAGUACAUACUAAUUAACUAUAGUCGAGUGAUAGUAACAAAUAUAUAUUCUAAACACAUGCAAAGGAAUUCAUUAAUUUGAUAUGAAUGCGAAUGAAUUUAUAUUAUUAUCGUUAUUGUACCUAAUACCCUUGCGAGUAGUUGCAGAUACAUCCUUCAGAGACCGUUGCUAAUUAAAUUAUGAAUUGUUCAAUGUAUUGACUAAUCGUUGACGUUCAAAGCUUAUCACAAACUUUCCAAAAUAGAAGCAUAAUAUAUGACUAGUCCCUUCAGAGUCUAAUAAACCAACCAACUCAAAAUAAAUUAGAAUUAGACCUCAAUCAAUUACAUACUGUCCAUCAAUAUGCCACUAUAUUGGUUCACUGCAUCUAGGGAUUCCACUUUUCUAGUUAAAUUUAUAUUAGAAAAAACUUAGUUGGAUCUUCCUAUUUUCAUUUUGCAUUGCUAUAGAUAAUAAAAGAGAUUAUUCCCUAAUAAGAGUUUAUUCAGUACAACAACACAAAUAAUGCACUUAAAGUGGUUAGCUAACGACUGUUUAUUAUAUUAACUCGAACCUAACUGAGAUUGAAGGCAGCAAGAGUAGUUAUCAGUUAUCAACUUAUCAACAUCAAACUUCUUAGUCAAGAAAGUUGUUUAUCUAAUUAAUGAGAUGUUUAUCCAUAUUGAUUUCAAGUAAAUCAACCACACUUUCCUACAUUCAUGCAUUUAAUUUCAAGGGGAACCACAGUCCACAGCCCAUGUUCCUCCUCCCAUUAUAUUCAUUAGUAAGUUUUCUGAUGAAGGAAAUUAUAAUUAAUUUAAAAGUCUGUUCAAUAUUUAAAGGAUAAUUUGAUCUCUCAAUAUUGCUAUUCGUCCUUUUAUAAUAAUGCAGAUAUAGAUGUGUGCGCAUCAAGUUAUUGGGUCAUACUAUUUUAUAACACUUUACGGAUUUACUUUAGUUUUAUAUUUAUUAUAAAACUUUUAUUUUUACGCAUAAGACAUCUAAAAAUUAACAUAUGGAAAAUCUUUUGCAGAAUCAAUUGUUUAUUCAAAUUGUAUAAGGCUGUACAUUCAUCAAUUUCCUAGCUCUCGAGAUUUAUAUAGUGCAAUAAUUCCUAGUUACCUCUUCAAGUGAAAGUUGAUCUCAUAUUCCAUGUCUAUCUUGUUGUUUUUCCCCUUCUUUUUUUAGCAUUGUGCUUGGAGUUUCAAAUCUCUCACAUUUGUGGGCAUUUUAUCCUCUCUGGCAUUUUGUUGGAAGUAUUUUUUUCCUUUUCUUUCUCUCUUCAUUUGAUUUAUUCCUUCAAUUCUAUUGAGUACAAUUAACAGUUGUAAUUGUUGUAAAUCUUACGAAAAAUACCUUCUUCACUUGUAUGGAAUUCAUACAGCUUGAGGCAUGUAAAACAGUAUCCUUAAGGAUAUUUCACUCGAUAUGGAUGUAUCUUUGGAAUUCAACAAGCUCUUCCAAUAUUAACUAUGAGCCAAAAUCUAUCAAAGAUUAACAAAACAAAACCCAACACACUAUAUUAUGAUAUAAGAAAAUUUUUUGUCUAGUUCAUCCCUCAAAAAAGAAGAUUGAGUUGAUUUAUAUAGUUAAAAAAUUCAUCAAAUGGGUUGUCAAUGUUGACCAAAAAACGUCGUAAUUGUUAUCAAAUAUUAAUGGGUCGUGCCUCAAAAUUUGGUCAUUAAGAAAAAUAAUAUGACUCAUCAAUAGUAUGUUAUAGAAAGGCUAAACAUUUGAGGAGUUAGAGAAAUUAAAAAAGAAUAAAGGUCAACUAAUAGCUAUUCAAGAAGACAAUCAAAGCCAUUAAAGUAGAAAUCAACUGUUAUUAUAGACAUAGUAAUUUCUUUUUUAUAUAUCCAACUGUAAUUGGGGGAAGGGGGCUAAUUCAACCUGAACUCAUUUGAUUCACCUAAUCAAAUCAGUUUUUAAAAGAAUUGGGCAUGAUACAUUACAGACAGAUUAAGUUCGAGCACUAUCUAUUUUAACUCAUAUUAAAAAAAAAAAAAAAAAAAAAAAAUCGUAACAAAAAAACUAUCAAAAUUCCAAACAUCAAAAACUUGAUAAGAUUGAUAUGAUUAAACUCAACCCAUGACUACUCAGCAUAGGUAAAAAAAAAAAAUUUUAGGAUUUGGCUCCUCCCCAUAUUUUAUCCUCUCUAUUUUUUCCAAGUUAGAAUUGAAAUUUCAUUUCCAAAUGAAAUCCUCUAUGUAUCCUUAAUAUUAUUUAUGUACAUAAACCUUUUAUUUUCCUCAAAACACUUCAUCUACUCAAUUAUUUUGUAAAUCAAGAAACUAAACAUGCUAUAAUUAUAAAUUAAAUUGGAAUUGUAGGGUUAACUUGAGGUUUGCUAAAGUAUAAACUUUUAAAGGAAAAUCUCUAUAGUUUAAAUUAGUAUUGAAGUUUUUAUACUCACAUAUGACAUGCAGUUGUAUAUGUCGCUGUAUAUUGUGGGUAUGUCUUGUAUAUUUUGUAUAUGCCAAAGUAUAUCAACAUAUAUCAUGUGUAUAUCAAGUGCAUAAUUUAUAUUUACAUAUACAUAAAAGAUAAUGAUAUACAAGCUAUACACGGAGGAAGAAAUAUUUGAAGUCAUAGGAGAAAACUAUUGAGGAUAAAAAAAACUACCGCGAAUAAAAAAGCAACGAAUAGUGUUAGUGAAGCACCAUUGAUGGGGCAACACUGGGGGUAGGGGUAGGGGUAGGGGUAGGGGUAGAGGUAGGGGUGUGAAAAAAUCGAACCGAUAAAAAUAUUAUUGGUUUAUUAUUAUUGGUUUAUUGGGUUAAUGAUUUUUUACUGAUUUUAUAAAAAAAAAUUAUUGGAUUAUUGGUUCGGUUCGAUUUUUUCUUAUUGGGUAAACCGAUAACCUAAUAAAAAUAUACAUAUAUGUGUGUGUGACUUAUUAGAUAUUUCUCUUUAAUUUCUACAAAUUAACAAACCUAUUAUUUCAAUUAUAAAAACUCUUAAUUUCUCCUAACAACAUUUAGUUCAAACUUGAAGAUUCUUGUAAUUUAAAACACUAUCAUGUAGGAUUUUUGGUUGCAACUAAGAUUCGAUUUUUUGUUAUGUUAGUUACUACUGUUUCUAUUUUAUCAGUAUUUUCUUAUCGGUUAAACCGAAAACUGAACUGUUAAAGAUUAAAAAUCGAUAAACCUAUAAAAAAUAUCUUAUUGAUUUGAUUAUUAGUUUAGCAUAUAAAAAAAUAAAAAAUCGUUAAACUGAAUCGAUAAUAUAUAAAAUCGAACUAACGAAUGCACACCUAAAUGGGGCAUGGCUAGGGUGUGACGGUGUGUGUGAAAGAGAAGACAACAAUCUUUAAUUUUGUGAAAUUUGUUGGAGGUUUAUAUGUUUAGUAAACCAUUUUUUCUCUUUUUGAAAAUUGGAUAGUAUUGGUAGUUGUAGUAAGUGUCAUACAUUUAUUUUUGUGCAUCCAGAAAAUUAUACCUUGUUUUUGUUCUCUUUCCGUCUCACAUUACUCCCACCGUUUCAUAUUAGUUGGCCUCUAUGGACUUGGCAUACCCAUUAAGAAAAUAUUAAUUAGGAGAUUUAUUUUACCAAAUUAGUCUUAUUAAUUAUGUUUUGAAAAUAUAAAUUUGAAUAAAUACAAUUUGUUUAGUCAUUUAAUGUUAAGGGUAGUAUUGAAAGAACAUAAUAAAAUUCUCUUGAUUUCAUCAAAGAAACAACUAAAUUAAAACAAAUAUUUUUAGAAAGAGGGUCAACUAAAACAAAACGGAGGGAGUACUUGACAUUUAUUUCUGUCUCAUAUUAUAUUAAAUUGAUAUGUUUGAAGAAUCAAGAGAUAAUUUGACAUAUUUUUCCAACCCUACCCUUAAUAAUUUAAUGGGAGAGUAAUUAACUCUAAUAAGUAAUGAUAAUAUUUAAAGUGAGUUUAAUAGGAUCGUAUUAGUCAAUUUGCA